UGGAUGAUCUACAUAGGGGGAUCACUAGGAGUCAAGGAUCAUCAGAGAUCGAAGCUAGGAUUGGAGGGUCCCAAGUUACGCAUUGGAUGACUUUAGACGGUUCUUUUAUGGUACAAGAGAAACACAUAUUCCUUCGAAACUAAAUACUUUCAUCCCCGACUGUGCCAUGACAUUGGCCUUGUAUAUCAUAUCUGCCUUUCCAUUAAUCUAUGUCUUCGGCUUGGAUGACAAAUUUUCUUUUAACAUGAUCUAAUUUACUCCAAAGAGGA
rnacentral:lncRNA from 1 species